ACGGGAGGCAGCAGUGGGGAAUAUUGGGCAAUGGGGGCAACCCUGACCCAGCAACGCCGCGUGAAGGAAGAAGGCUUUCGGGUUGUAAACUUCUUUUAUGUGUGACGAUAGUGACGGUAGCACAUGAAUAAGCCACGGCUAACUACGUGCCAGCAGCCGCGGUAAUACGUAGGUGGCAAGCGUUAUCCGGAUUUACUGGGUGUAAAGGGCGCGUAGGCGGGUCUGCAAGUCAGAUGUGAAAAUUAUCGGCUUAACCGAUAACCUGCAUUUGAAACUGUAGAUCUUGAGUACCGGAGAGGUUGACGGAAUUCCGUGUGUAGCGGUGAAAUGCGUAGAUAUACGGAAGAACACCAGUGGCGAAGGCGGUCAACUGGACGGCAACUGACGCUGAGGCGCGAAAGUGUGGGGAGCAAACAGGAUUAGAUACCCUGGUA
rnacentral:rRNA from 2 species